UCCCCCUCCCCACACUCCUGCAGGCGCGGGGCGCAACUUGUAACCUGAACUUCGCGCAGCCGGAGCAAGUGUGUCGGGGCGAGAAGCGCCUCGUCCUCGGUCCGCACCACCGCACUGGGUCCCCGCCACCGCCACACCACUAUCUCAGGGGCCAGGCGUGGCCCCCGGCUGGCUAGGGAGCAGAGCGCGGCGCCGCGGCUGCGCAUUCUGUGCGGGACGCCGCUGUCUCCCACGGGCGGGGAUAAACUAGGGGGCGGUUGAUCUGAAAUUCUUAGCCACGGCUAAUAGUCAACCACCCAAGUGCGACCCGUGGCAGCCCGGCAAUGCAGCUCGUUCUCCAGACGCGGGUCCACACCGGCGCGUCCUCGCCUCCAGGGACUGAUCGCAGUCCUCCGCGGCCGGUGACUUGGGCCGCCAAGCAGUGAGAAGCAAGUAGUCAAAGAAAACAUCCCGGGCAAACCGGCUGACCGAAAAUCCACUGCCGGGGUAGGGAGGCGCCCUCUACGGGGAUGAAGUCAUCGCUACCUUUGACUCUUUGAUUCUAGAUAAUCGACCAAGACUUUUCCAGCCUAAUGCCUGACGCCUUUCGCUUCCUCCACCCUGGUCCUCAGUCCCUGAACUCCCAGGACGGAAUUCCUGGCCUCCAUAUGCAAGCCUUGGAUCGAGAAAGAGAAACUAUUAGUGUAAACAAACCCAUCAACAAAAACCAGAACUGUGCCUGCCAAUAGCCCAUUUCUUGGCCAUUGAUCCGAGCAUGAAGAGAAAUGGAUCCAACUAAGAGAACCUUAAAAUCUUAAGGAAUAAGAAAACGUAAUAAAGAGAAAGACAAUGUCA